UACGGAGGGAGCAAGCGUUACUCGGAAUUAUUGGGCGUAAAGGGCGCGUAGGCGAUCUGACAAGUCUGGUGUGAAAGCCCACAUGUUAACUGUGGAAGUGCAUUAGAAACUGUUGGAUUUGAGUUCAGGAGAGGAAGGCAGAAUUCCCGGUGUAGCGGUGAAAUGCGUAGAGAUCGGGAGGAAUACCAGUGGCGAAGGCGGCCUUCUGGGACUGACACUGACGCUGAGGCGCGAAAGCCGGGGAGCAAACGGGA
rnacentral:rRNA from 1 species